rnacentral:tRNA from 1 species
GCGAACGAACCUAAAUCUGACUUCGGAUCAGACGGUUGGGGGUUCGAAUCCCUCCGGGCGCG